AAUUUUGGACAAUGGGCGCAAGCCUGAUCCAUCCAUGCCGCGUGAUUGAAGAAGGCCUUCGGGUUUUAAAGCUCUUUCUGACGGGAAGCAAUCUCGCAGGCUAAUACCCUGCGCGGUAUACGGUCCCGGCAUAAGAAUCACCGGCUAACUACGUCCCAGCACCCGCGGUAAUACGUAGGGUGCGAGCGUUAAUCGGAAUUACUGGGCGUAAAGCGUGCGCAGGCGGUUGAUUAAGACAGGCGUGAAAGCCCCGGGCUUAACCUGGGAACUGCGCUUGUGACUGGUCAGCUAGAGUACGGCAGAGGGGGGUGGAAUUCCACGUGUAGCAGUGAAAUGCGUAGAGAUGUGGAGGAACACCGAUGGCGAAGGCAGCCCCCUGGGCCGAUACUGACGCUCAUGCACGAAAGCGUGGGUAGCAAACAGG
rnacentral:rRNA from 1 species